GGUGAACCAAGUUAGGAUCUCUCUAGUAGAUCUAUAUUAAUUAUGGAUUUACAUCGGAUGUAAAUAAAUAAUUUAAAUUAAAGAGACCUAAAUUAAAUCUCCUCAUAUAUAUUAAGUCUAGCGAUCUUCCAUCAUUGUAGAUGUGUGGGCCCUUUCCAGUGUUGUUAUUCUCGACUAGAUAUAGUGGUUCAGUUGCACCAGGAAAGAUGCAACCACUCUAUAGGCAUGAGAUAC
rnacentral:lncRNA from 1 species